rnacentral:rRNA from 1 species
CCUACGGGGGGCAGCAGUGAGGAAUAUUGGUCAAUGGCCGAGAGGCUGAACCAGCCAAGUCGCGUGAGGGAAGACGGCCCUACGGGUUGUAAACCUCUUUUGUCGGGGAGCAAAGCGAACCACGUGUGGUUCAUUGCGAGUACCCGAAGAACAAGCAUCGGCUAACUCCGUGCCAGCAGCCGCGGUAAUCCGGAGGAUGCGAGCGUUAUCCGGAUUUAUUGGGUUUAAAGGGUGCGCAGGCGGAGGUGCAAGUCAGCGGUCAAAUUGCGGGGCUCAACCCCGUACUGCCGUUGAAACUGCAGCCCUUGAGUGCGCGGAAGGCAGGCGGAAUUCGUGGUGUAGCGGUGAAAUGCUUAGAUAUCACGAAGAACCCCGAGUGCGAAGGCAGCCUGCCGCAGCGUGACUGACGCUGAAGCUCGAAAGCGCGGGUAUCGAACAGGAUUAGAUACCCGGGUAGUC